ACUCCUACGGGAGGCAGCAGUAAGGAAUAUUGGUCAAUGGACGCAAGUCUGAACCAGCCAUGCCGCGUGAAGGAUGAAGGUCCUCUGGAUUGUAAACUUCUUUUAUAUGGGACGAAACCCUCGAUUUCUAUCGGGAUUGACGGUACCAUAGGAAUAAGCACCGGCUAACUCCGUGCCAGCAGCCGCGGUAAUACGGAGGGUGCAAGCGUUAUCCGGAUUCACUGGGUUUAAAGGGUGCGUAGGAGGGCAGGUAAGUCAGUGGUGAAAUCCCCGAGCUUAACUUGGGAACUGCCGUUGAUACUAUCUGUCUUGAAUACCGUGGAGGUGAGCGGAAUAUGUCAUGUAGCGGUGAAAUGCUUAGAUAUGACAUAGAACACCAAUUGCGAAGGCAGCUCGCUACACGAAUAUUGACUCUGAGGCACGAAAGCGUGGGGAUCAAACAGGAUUAGAUACCCUGGUAGUCCACGCCCUAAACGAUGGAUACUCGACAUACGCGAUACACAGUGUGUGUCUGAGCGAAAGCAUUAAGUAUCCCACCUGGGAAGUACGACCGCAAGGUUGAAACUUAAAGGAAUUGACG
rnacentral:rRNA from 1 species